GGAAUAUUGGACAAUGGUCGAAAGACUGAUCCAGCCAUGCCGCGUGCAGGAUGAAGGUGCUCUGCAUUGUAAACUGCUUUUGUUCGGGAAUAAACCCCUCUACGUGUAGAGGGCUGAAUGUACCGAAAGAAUAAGGGACGGCUAACUUCGUGCCAGCAGCCGCGGUAAUACGAAGGUCCCAAGCGUUAUCCGGAUUUAUUGGGUUUAAAGGGUGCGUAGGCGGGUUGUUAAGUCAGUGGUGAAAGCCUACAGCUUAACUGUAGAAUUGCCAUUGAUACUGACGAUCUUGAGUGUGGUUGAGGUGGGCGGAAUGUAUCAUGUAGCGGUGAAAUGCUUAGAUAUGAUACAGAACACCGAUUGCGAAGGCAGCUCACUAAGCCAUUACUGACGCUGAGGCACGAAAGCGUGGGGAGCAAACAGGAUUAGAUACCCUGGUAGUCCACGCCCUAAACUAUGAUCACUCGAUGUUGGCGAUACACAGUCAGCGUCCAAGCGAAAGCAUUAAGUGAUCCACCUGGGGAGUACGACCGCAAGGUUGAAACUCAAAGGAAUUGACGG
rnacentral:rRNA from 1 species